rnacentral:rRNA from 1 species
UAAUGCCGGAUGUUCCACAUGAUCGCAUGUGAUUGUGGGAAAGAUUUCAUCGGCGUGGGAUGGGGUCGCGUCCUAUCAGCUUGUUGGUGAGGUAACGGCUCACCAAGGCUUCGACGGGUAGCCGGCCUGAGAGGGCGACCGGCCACAUUGGGACUGAGAUACGGCCCAGACUCCUACGGGAGGCAGCAGUGGGGAAUAUUGCACAAUGGGCGCAAGCCUGAUGCAGCGACGCCGCGUGAGGGAUGGAGGCCUUCGGGUUGUAAACCUCUUUUGUUUGGGAGCAAGCCUUCGGGUGAGUGUACCUUUCGAAUAAGCGCCGGCUAACUACGUGCCAGCAGCCGCGGUAAUACGUAGGGCGCAAGCGUUAUCCGGAUUUAUUGGGCGUAAAGGGCUCGUAGGCGGCUCGUCGCGUCCGGUGUGAAAGUCCAUCGCUUAACGGUGGAUCUGCGCCGGGUACGGGCGGGCUGGAGUGCGGUAGGGGAGACUGGAAUUCCCGGUGUAACGGUGGAAUGUGUAGAUAUCGGA